rnacentral:tRNA from 1 species
GGGCCGCUAGCUCAACCGGUAGAGCAGCUGACUCUUAAUCAGCAGGUUCAGGGUUCGAUUCCCUGGCGGCUCA